UGAAUGACAUUCUUGUCCAGAAGCAUUAUUAUAGACGUUAAUUUUUACUCAGAAAGGCAAGGUUAUCUGCAUUCAAGAGAGAAACAUCAGCAACAAGGAAAAUGAAUUCUCUGUAUCCAUAGCUGAAAACUUGCAUAACUUCUAUCUUCGCAAGCGAAUGAUUUAAAUAGGAUUCCAAGGAACAAGAGGAGAAAGAAAUCGUACCGUAUUAUCACACGAGAGUCUUGAUGUUUCUCGAUUCCGAUCGGUCACUGCCUCAACGGAAUGUAUCGAGUAAUUGCAACAGAAUUUGGACAGAAAAAUGUGAAGCUCUGAAACCCUAGAAUUGCGGAGGUGACAAAGGACAAAAAA